rnacentral:rRNA from 1 species
CUUGUGCCAGCAGCCGCGGUAAUACAGAGGGUGCAAGCGUUAAUCGGAAUUACUGGGCGUAAAGCGUGCGUAGGUGGUUCGUUAAGUUGGAUGUGAAAUCCCCGGGCUCAACCUGGGAACUGUAUUCAAAACUGACGAGCUAGAGUAUGGUAGAGGGUGGUGGAAUUUCCUGUGUAGCGGUGAAAUGCGUAGAUAUAGGAAGGAACACCAGUGGCGAAGGCGACCACCUGGACUGAUACUGACACUGAGGUGCGAAAGCGUGGGGAGCAAACAGGAUUAGAU